rnacentral:rRNA from 1 species
UACGGAGGGUGCAAGCGUUAUCCGGAUUCACUGGGUUUAAAGGGUGCGUAGGUGGGUCUGUAAGUCCGUGGUGAAAUCUCCGAGCUUAACUUGGAAACUGCCAUGGAUACUAUAGGUCUUGAAUACUGUGGAGGUCAGCGGAAUAUGUCAUGUAGCGGUGAAAUGCUUAGAUAUGACAUAGAACACCAAUUGCGAAGGCAGCUUGCUAACCGAAUAUUGACACUGAGGCACGAAAGCGUGGGGAUCAAACAGG